UACGUAGGGUGCAAGCGUUAAUCGGAAUUACUGGGCGUAAAGCGUGCGCAGGCGGUUGUGCAAGACCGAUGUGAAAUCCCCGGGCUUAACCUGGGAAUGGCAUUGGUGACUGCACGGCUAGAGUGUGUCAGAGUGGGGUAGAAUUCCACGUGUAGCAGUGAAAUGCGUAGAGAUGUGGAGGAAUACCGAUGGCGAAGGCAGCCCCCUGGGAUAACACUGACGCUCAUGCACGAAAGCGUGGGGAGCAAACAGG
rnacentral:rRNA from 1 species